rnacentral:rRNA from 1 species
UGGGGAAUUUUGGACAAUGGGCGAAAGCCUGAUCCAGCAAUGCCGCGUGUGUGAAGAAGGCCUUCGGGUUGUAAAGCACUUUUGUCCGGAAAGAAAUCCUUGGCUCUAAUACAGUCGGGGGAUGACGGUACCGGAAGAAUAAGCACCGGCUAACUACGUGCCAGCAGCCGCGGUAAUACGUAGGGUGCAAGCGUUAAUCGGAAUUACUGGGCGUAAAGCGUGCGCAGGCGGUUUGCUAAGACCGAUGUGAAAUCCCCGGGCUCAACCUGGGAACUGCAUUGGUGACUGGCAGGCUAGAGUAUGGCAGAGGGGGGUAGAAUUCCACGUGUAGCAGUGAAAUGCGUAGAGAUGUGGAGGAAUGCCGAUGGCGAAGGCAGCCCCCUGGGCCAAUACUGACGCUCAUGCACGAAAGCGUGGGGAGCAAACAGGAUUAGAUACCCUGGGUAGUCCACGCCCUAAACGAUGUCAACUAGUUGUUGGGGAUUCAUUUCCUUAGUAACGUAGCUAACGCGUGAAGUUGACCGCCUGGGGAGUACGGUCGCAAGAUU